AUUACCUCAAUGACAGUAGUAAUCAAAACACUAACUUUUUGACAAUUGACAUUUGACACAAUAUUAAAUUAAGUUUAUGAAAAAAGAGAAACAACUGAUUAUAAGUACAGAAUCAAAUGAAAAAGUUAUAAUUUAGUUUGAAGCUACCCUGCAAACUUUUAGCGAAUUGUGUCAUCAGCUGUUUGAGUUCCGACUGCGAAGUUACCUUAGCUCGGGACUUAUUUGGGAGAAGAAUGAUCACGACACCGUCUGCAGACCAGCAUUUCCUCAUUCCAAAGUGACUACGAGCAGCAGUGAAUAGAUCUUGUCGGGACUUUGUCAAAAAUUCCGUUAUAGUUAUUUUGGUGCCCUUUAAGAAAGUCUUUGCCCUCCACACCAUGGAGCGUGCUUGCAUAUUCGUGAAUCGCACAAGAAUAGGCCUGGCAGAUUCUCUCUUUACACCCAAUCUGUGACAGGUCUCAAUUGUGUCAGGAUUUAAAUCUGAUAGCGUCAUUUGUUUAGUUAAGACCUGUACAAUCUUCUCGGAGAUAUUUUCAUCCUUCUCCUCCUUGAUGCCAUGAAAGAGAAGAAUCUUCCUACGGGAAUAAGUCUCCAAUCGGUCCACUCCACUCGCAACCAGCUCCAAUUGAGACUUCAACAAACCAAGUGACUUCCAAAUAAAAGUCUUGAAUGUGUAGAACUCCGCAGCUAAAGCCUUUACAGUUGGAUUAGGAGCACUUGAACUAGAAGGAAGGAGGUUUUUUUCAAACUCAGCCAUUCUGGCAUCAAACAUAGAGGACAUCUCUUCAAAGUUCUUCGCUAGUUGUUCAACUGAGGAAUCCAUAAUGUGUUAAGAAAAUAUUGUUUGUGAGUAAGUACACAGUCAACUUAAGCACUGGAUAAGUAAACCUUAGUACAUCUGAGGCAUAAAUAUUUUAAAAUUUAAUAAAAACCGAGGAGCUACUUAAACACGUC